rnacentral:rRNA from 1 species
UACGAAGGGGGGCUAGCGUUGCUCGGAAUCACUGGGCGUAAAGCGCACGUAGGCGGAUUGCUAAGUCAGGGGUGAAAUCCUGGAGCUCAACUCCAGAACUGCCUUUGAUACUGGAGAGCUCGAGUCCGGGAGAGGUGAGUGGAACUCCGAGUGUAGAGGUGAAAUUCGUAAGAUAUUCGGAAGAACCACCAAGUGGCGAA